UACGGAGGAUGCGAGCGUUAUCCGGAUUUAUUGGGCGUAAAGCGAGCGCAGGUGGUUUAUUAAGUCUGGUGUAAAAGGCAGUGGCUCAACCAUUGUAUGCAUUGGAAACUGGUAGACUUGAGUGCAGGAGAGGAGAGUGGAAUUCCAUGUGUAGCGGUGAAAUGCGUAGAUAUAUGGAGGAACACCGGUGGCGAAAGCGGCUCUCUGGCCUGUAACUGACACUAAGGCUCGAAAGCGUGGGGAGCAAACAGG
rnacentral:rRNA from 1 species